GCACCACAAGGGGUGAAGCCNGCGGUUCAAUUGGAGUCAACGCCAGAAAUCUUACCCGGAGAGACAGCAGAAUGAAGGUCAAGCUGAAGACUUUACCAGACAAGCUGAGAGGUGGUGCAUGGCCGUCGCCAGCUCGUGCCGUGAGAUGUCCUGUUAAGUCAGGUAACGAGCGNGNNCCCCUGCCNCCUAGUUGCCACCAUUACUCUCAGGAGUAGUGGGGCGAAUUAGCGGGACCGCCGCAGUUAAUGCGGAGGAAGGAAGGGGCCACGGCAGGUCAGUAUGCCCCGAAACUCUGGGGCCACACGCGGGCUGCAAUGGUAAUGACAAUGGGUCCCGAAUCCGAAAGGAAGAGGUAAUCCUCAAACAUUACCACAGUUAUGACUGAGGGCUGCAACUCGCCCUCACGAAUAUGGAAUNCCUAGUAACUGCGUGUCAUUAUCGCGCGGUGAAUACGUCCCUGCUCCUUGCACACACCGCCCGUCGUUUCAUUGAAGUGAGCUUUUAGUGAGGUGACGUCUGAUUGGCGUUAUCGAACUUGAGGUUCGCGACAAGGGAAAAGUCGUAAC
rnacentral:rRNA from 1 species